rnacentral:rRNA from 2 species
GGCUUCCGGAGCUAACGCGUUAAGUCGACCGCCUGGGGAGUACGGCCGCAAGGUUAAAACUCAAAUGAAUUGACGGGGGCCCGCACAAGCGGUGGAGCAUGUGGUUUAAUUCGAUGCAACGCGAAGAACCUUACCUGGCCUUGACAUCCAGAGAACUUAGCAGAGAUGCUUUGGUGCCUUCGGGAACUCUGAGACAGGUGCUGCAUGGCUGUCGUCAGCUCGUGUUGUGAAAUGUUGGGUUAAGUCCCGCAACGAGCGCAACCCUUAUCCUUUGUUGCCAGCGGUUCGGCCGGGAACUCAAAGGAGACUGCCGGUGAUAAACCGGAGGAAGGUGGGGAUGACGUCAAGUCAUCAUGGCCCUUACGGCCAGGGCUACACACGUGCUACAAUGGCGCAUACAAAGAGAAGCGACCUCGCGAGAGCAAGCGGACCUCAUAAAGUGCGUCGUAGUCCGGAUUGGAGUCUGCAACUCGACUCCAUGAAGUCGGAAUCGCUAGUAAUCGUAGAUCAGAAUGCUACGGUGAAUACGUUCCCGGGCCUUGUACACACCGCCCGUCACACCAUGGGAGU